AGAAACAGAGUCCGGAUCAGCGAGGAUCCAGAACCUUCAGGGUUUAAUCGAGUCAAAAGAAAAUGAAUCACCAUAAACUGGAGCUGCUCUGGCAGCAGGCGGAACAUUUUUUAAUGAUGAAUCUUUUUAAAACUUUGUUCUUUCAUUAUUUUAUAACUCAGAUUAAUUUCACGUUGAAUACGUUUACAUUUCUAAUCCCAAUAUUUAUGUCUUUAUAAAUCUGCAGUUCGGUUCUUUCCUGGGAUCCACCCAAAAAUCCUGCAGCAUCUCUGAGGUGUGACACAGGAAGUGAUGUCAUCAGCCUCUCGUCACAGGUCAGGAUGCGAGCAGCAGCAGGAAGUGAUGCGGCUGAGCUCCUGCGUUUAGCCGCCGCUAUUUUCUCUGCUAAGGAGACAAACUGUCAGAAUUAGCUGGGUAAAUAUUGACGCCCCUCCUCCUCCGGGGCAGACGGGGCAGUGGGGGGUUCGGGUGGGGUACGGGGGCAGGGGGCUCUCUCUCUGCGGUCAGACUCCAGGUUGCUCAUUGAUUUAUUUUUGUUAUUUGUUGGUUUAAAUAUCGUAAAAAUAAAUGUGGCUGCGGCGCGUCGGACAGAGGAGCCAAUGUGGCAGAAAGCAGCAGAAAGCCCCCCUUAUUCUGCCCUAAUGCCCCCCGGGGGUCUGGCUGCACACCGGCUCACUUCACCUGAACCGGCGGCCCGGUCUGUGGUGCUGAAAUCUCCAUGGAGCCCUCCUGACCCGUACGGAAGCCCAUUAGUGCCACUGGCAGGAUAUAUGAGCUUCUGGCCUAUUUAAAGCCCUGGAUUCAUGUGGAAGUCUGUCUCCUCUGGUUCUGUCUGAUCUGCUGAGGUUCCAGAGUUCAUUCCUGUUUCUUUACAACAGAAUCAACUGAACUGAACAAACGGCACGCAGUUUCACUUCCUGGUUCACCAACAGGGUCACCUGCAGUGACUCCGAGCCGCCAGCGGGGGCAGCGCUCCGACCGUUGGUCGGUCUCUCCCGCGUUGCCUCAUUUCGUUGCCAUUGAUUGCUGAACCCUCCUCCGUGAGCCAGCUGACCCGAACCCAAAUGACCAGGAAGGAGUCCUUGGUCAGCUGUUGCUACGGCAACGUCUGAAAGCAGAAACGAUAACCUGCAGGCAUUUCUGCUGCGGUACCAGACGAUGCUUCUGCUGCUGGCAGGAAUGGCCUUCCGUACCUGGCUGUGUUUCUGGAGAGAACGCAGUGAGGAGCAGCUCACCUGGUGGCCCCGCCCCCUGCACAAGCCCCGCCCCCAGUCAACUUGGUUUGUAGUUUUGGACCAGCCGCCUCUGGUUCCUCUAUUAGCCGGUAAGCAGUUCUGGUUCUGGCUGCUGUUGGCUCAGUGGGUUAAGGUUAGUCUCCCUCCUCUUCCUCACCUCAGGUUUACUCUGCCUCGCUCUUCAUCAUCACUGUGACCUCAGCUUCCUGUUCUGACCAACAACCAGCAGAUCAGCCAGAGAAACACAAAGAGUCCAGAACCCUCAGCAACCGACCGAACUCUAAUCCUGGAUUUCAGCACCUUGUUGCCCAGCUCCCAGCUGUCCCAGUAACCCUCCAGCCUCCCAGUCCCGACCCAGUUCCACUGACAGCCUUCCAGCCGAUGCUUUUCACACCAGUAUGUCACUCCCAGUUCAGAUGAAACCAGUGUCCUUCCCAGCUCAGCCAUAAAUUCCUCACACAGCCGACAGUUUCCAUCUGCAGUCCUUACAGGAGGAAACCGAUCAGGUGUGUUGGUCACUUCCUGUCUGGGUCUCUGUCCUGCUACCUCUGCUGAGCGUGGCUCCGUUCUCCCGGUAGUCCUGGAUCUCCUGGUCCUUCCUGGCCAGCAGCUCUCCCUGCUCCUCCAGCUGCCUGUGCAGCAG